UCUGAUUAUUUCCUGUCCAUAAUUAAUUAGCUUCUGCAACAUCAAACUAUUUUAAUAAUAUUUUGCCAUUUUAAAAUCAACGGUGAAUAAAAUCUGCUUUGUGAUAGCCUUUCGGGUCACUUAGAAUAAACAUUAAUAAUUUGCUACUGCCCAUAUGCUUUUAUUCAGCUAAUCUGUCCUAAUUAACCUGGACAAUAAUUAGUUAAAAUCUACUUUCUGAAAUAACUUUCUGCUCCCCCUAAUCAAAUAAUUAUGUUGUUAUGCUGCUUAUUUUGUAUGCACACACUUAGCAUGAAAUCCUUUCACCAUUUAUGUGUGUUUGAAAGCAUGUUUAAUAAAACCUAGAGGUCAAUAUGAGACCCUAUGUGUUAAAUGCUUGUCCAAAUUGUUUGACUUGGUGUCUAGGUGGGCCUAGUAAGAACCUUUAUUUUAUUUCUAGUCUAAAACCUCCUAAUAGUAGUUCAAUGCCUUUUGGACCUUAAGCGGGGACGCUAGUCACCUUUUAGAGACGAAAAGCAUGCGGUGGUAGGGUAGGGGUAGUUUAGGCCCUACGGAGAUGAUGUCAUCGACUCAGGCUCAAAGAGACAAACCCUGGUUUUGUCUGUCCCUACACGGAAGCCUAUCAAAAAAUAUAAAGAAAAGUCGAGUGUUGAUCCACAAAGUCCUUUAGAGUCUCCUUUUCCUUUUAUCCCUUUAUCUAUUUAUAAUUAUAUUUAUUUGGGGUAGUUUAAUUAAAUAAAAAAUGAUAUUUACUUAUAUAUUUGUUUGCUUUCUAUCUUCUCGCUAUUUCUUUUAAAUUUUAUUUUUGUUAGUUAUUUAGUAUUAUGUUAUUACCUAGUUUUUGCAUGCUUAAUUAAUUAAAUAAAUAAAUAAAUCGAUAUUAAUUGUUUAAUAUUAGUUAUCACAUAGCAAUCAUGUUUAAUAAAUAACUAAUAAAUAAAGUGACUUUAAAUGCUACCUCUAACCCCCACAUAAAUUGCAUGAGAUACGGUCGGGAUCCACAUUUGUGGACCUCGAGGGAUGCCUAACACCUUCCUCUCGAGGUAAUUUGAACCCUUACCCUGAUCUCUAUUUCGUUGACCUUAGUUAGAUUUAGCUAGGUUAGAUAGGAGCUCUAACGCGCCUUAAUUCGUUAGGUGGCGACUUUUCAAUCCUCCAAAGCCCAAAAGAGUUGUUAGGUCGUGCACCAAAACCUGUUUUUGCGAAAAACGGGGAGCGACAGAAUGACGACUCUGCUGGGGAUAUUAGGUUCUAACCAUUACGUGUUUCAUGCUUAUAUGUGGUUUACUUUAUUUGGUCAUUUCAUUGUUUGUUUAUUAUUGUUAAGUACUUUCAUGCUUAAUCACAUACUUAUUUCCUUAUUUGUUGGAUUUCUUACAUGCUUAUAUCUGUUUAUUUAUUUAUUUACUGUUUUUCUUAAAAUUGCCUAUAUUUUACUGUUUUUCAUCUAUAUGCUAAAUGUUUACUGCUUUGAUAAACUGGCAUCCGCUCAUACUUCCCCCAAUUAGGACCCUCUUCCUUUUUAUAUUUUUUAUCGUGAUGUUGUGCCUUUGCACCUCUCAUAACUACUCCAAUUCUUUUCGAAUACCCAUUAUAGAGAGUCGGCAUAUGCGUGGACGGAAUGAAUAAUUUUACUACCGAGAAACCACGAGCCUUCUCGCAUAGAAUCACCUUCAAGUCCGUAUCAAGUCAACUCUUAGAAGUCUUACUUAAGUCAUACAUAUUGCAUAAGCCCUAGGUAGUUUGACCCUUGGUGUCAAUCCGCACAAUUAGCAUCCACCCUAUCGUCUAAAGGGCCCCAACACCCUUCAGAUAAAUUUGCAUAAUUAUGUGUCAAUAUGAUCAUGAUAAUUAAAUCAAGUCAAAUUAUGUCAAAAUGGAGUUAGGAAUUUUUCUCCGACUCUAAAACUUCAAUUGGCAAAGUAUGACUUGAAUCAACUUUAUUUUCAGUUUAUUGUCCCUCUCUGAGAGUAUUGUGUCAUUUAUUUGAACUUAUAAUUUUGGCUUGUUAUAUGCUACCCCCAUGCUUGCGUUUGAUUUAUUUUCUUUGAUUAAAGGUUGUCUAGUAUUUAGACUUUGGUUCAACUAAGAAUCUACAAUAUAACAAAUAUGUUCAGCCUUUAAAAAAAUCACCCCUCUUCUCGUCCAACAAUUUGGACUAUCUCUCCUCAUCCUAUUCCUACUCACACCCUCUCUCAACAAUUAUCUCCAACACGCCUCAACUUUGAUGCUUUGCAAUAUGAGGGGAUAAGUGACAAAAUGGAGAAGUCUAAGCUAGAUGUAAUACAACAAAAAAUGCAUGACUUGGAGAAGAAGGUGAAUGGAGCACUAAACUCAAAACCUACUCAUGACCUGAGGUAUAAGAAAUUAUGUCUACACCCAAGAGUUGAAUUGCCAUCAGGAUUUAAAAUUCCAAAAUUCAACAUGUUCGAUGGGAAUGGGGACCCAAUUUCACAUCUCAAGGACUUUUGAAGCAGAUUAGUUGGCUUAGAAAGUAAUGAACCUCUCCGGAUGAGGUUAUUCAUUCAAAGCUUAUUAGGAAUAGCCUUCACCUGGUUCGUCAAGCAAGACUUUGACAAAUGGCUCGCAUGGAAAGACAUGGCUCGAGACUUUGUGGAACAAUACAAGUUUAACACUAAGAUUGAUCUUACAUUGUUGGACUUGCUCGAAGUAAGGAAAUUAAGUCAUGAAUCUUUUGAGGAAUAUGUCAGAUGAUGGUGAAUGGAAGCUUCCAAGAUACGUCAUUUACCGAAUGAAGAAGAGUUGGUCCAGACUCUCAUCAGAUCACUUGCUGGUAUAUACUACAAGACUCUGUACUUCACAGGUAUUCAAAGCUUCGACAGUCUAAUUCGAAUUGGAAAGGAAUUGGAAUAUGGCAUUCAGUCUGGGAGAAUUGUUGAUGAACAAAUUCAUUUUCAAGUACUGAAAAACCCAUCAGAUGAAAGGAGCAAGAAUGUUUCAAUCUCUAUACCUCUGAAACCAAGUAAUCAGAACACUGGGCAAGUUCAUGCUAUUUUUUAUUCAUGUGACAUGCGUUUCAAGCCUUACAAUUCGCGAGUAUCUCAACUUAAGAUAAGGAAGCCUCGUACCUUUACCCCCUUAAUGGAAACUUUGACUAGCAUUUUUCAAAGGUUAUGGGCUAAAGGACUUUUGAAGCCAAGGGAAGGUUGGAUCCCUAAGCACUCUUUUUCAACUUUGGAUCUAUCCAAGAAUUGUGUGUAUCAUUCAAAUAUUCAAGGUCAUGACACUGAAGAAUGUCCAGCAUUGAGAAAUAAGAUCCAGAAUAUGAUUGAAAAAGGAAAAAUUAUAGUGAAACAAGGACCAGUAAACAACAAUUGCAAUUCUUCUAUAGUGGAUGCAGUCAUUGUUCAAGGAGAUCCCACAGGGCUUUAUUCAAGACACUUGACAAGGAAGCGCAGAUCGCAUCAAAGAAAUUGAGGAGGACAAGACUCUUAUGAACAAAAUGUCUCUUUUGUUCUUAGACCUUAUGCCCAAAGAGUUCCUUUAUUCCUUUCAUUUUCCUUGUAUUCCUGAACUACGUUUGACCUGAUUUCCUUUUGGAUACGUCGGCAACCCUUUGAUAGGUCCGGUCUUUAUCAAAUAAAUUUAUUUUCUUUCCCAUGGUCAUUCAAAAUAUUCCUCUCCAAAUUCAAAUUUAGGGCUAAUUGAUUCAACCUUUAACAUAAUUGAUGUUCAGAUUCGUAGUCGAGCCUAGUGUCCAAAUAUAAGACAAUCACUUUUCUUAUUGAACUAAUAAUUUUCUUUUAGUGAAUUGGAUCACAAAGUCCCUACAAAUGAAACUGGGGCAGAAUUUUUGAGGGAACCUCAAAAAUUUCAGACAAUAUUUAAGAAGGUGAGUAUAUAUCUUAUACUCUAAACUGGGGCAGAAGUUUUUGAAAUCCUCAAAAAUUUCAUCACAAUGGAGUGCAAUUCCGAAAUCAAAGCAAGCACAGGUAUGACCCAAUCUUGCUUUUCAAAUUUACGAUUAUCUCUGGAUGUAGGAAUAGAUUUGACAUAAGGAGCUACUAUCAAUCUACCGUUUGAUUAUUUCGAAGAUGCUAUUAUCAACUUGCUAUUGUGACCUACCGAACAUCACAGGUUCGUCUGCCUUACAAUACGACAUUAGGCUCGUCUGCCUUACAAUAUGACAUUUAGGUUCGUCCGCUUUACAAUAGGACAUCAGGCUCGUCCGCCUUACAAUACGGCAUCAGGCUCGUCUGCCUUAUAAUACGACAUUUAGGUUCGUCCGUCUUACAAUACGACAUUAGGCUCGUUUGCCUUACAAUACGGCAUCAUGCACGUCUGCCUUACAAUACGACAUUUAGGCUCGUCUGCCUUACAAUACGACAUUAGGCUCGUCUGCCUUACAAUAUGACAUUUAGGUUCGUCCGCUUUACAAUAGGACAUCAGGCUCGUCCGCCUUACAAUACGGCAUCAGGCUCGUCUGCCUUAUAAUACGACAUUUAGGUUCGUCCGUCUUACAAUACGACAUUAGGCUCGUUUGCCUUACAAUACGGCAUCAUGCACGUCUGCCUUACAAUACGACAUUUAGGCUCGUCUGCCUUACAAUACGACAUUCAGGCUUGUCCGCCUUACAAUAUGACAUUUAGGCUCGUCCGCCUUACAAUAGGACAUUAGGCUCGUCCGCCUUACAAUAAGAUAUUUAGGAUCUUCCGUCUUACAAUAGGGUGCUCAGGUUAACAUUAUUCUUUGGAGAUGGAUCGCAAUUCUUCAAGAAGUUAAGCCAAAGUUUAUCAGGGUUUACACUAUAUUUCUCAAAGCAGAUAUGUCUUCCUAUCACCUCUUGUCAUUAUUAUUUAUCAUGUUGGUUUACACUUUUUGUAUUUAUAAGCUAACAUUUUAUCUAGUCAUAUUAGAAUUUGCAGGCGAGAUCGAUCGCCCUCUCAGCUACGAUUAUCAGGCUCAUACCUAUUGCAACAGAGGCCCUUUCAAUCAUUUGAUAAUCGUUUCACUGUUUUUCAUCUGAUCCUUGCUCUUGAGCUGGAAAUCGCUCUGUCAUGCUCUUCUCGCUACUCUAAUCUUAUCCAUCCAAGCCGCAAUCGUUCCUGUUCGAAUAUCAUACCGUUUUUCCAUUUUUAGGAGCCUCGUUUGUUCCUAAAUCUAGAACUACACACGGCCUGAUUCUCGUAAUACCAGAGAUAUGUAGGCGACUUAAAACCAAAGUCUCGGCCGUACCCCUCUCCAACUCUAUACCAUUUCAAUUGAUCCCGCUGACAUUUCUCGUCGGUCGGACAAAAUCGGCUACUAAGUCAACGUUGGUUGCCCGACAAUUCAUCUUUCAUUCUCAAGCAACCAAGGGGCAGCUGUUGACACCCAAUUUUGACCGACCUAUAACCCUUUCAGGAGUGCUAUUCUAUUAAAUAUGUACUUUUAAACCAUAUGUCGAAAGCAACAGCAGCAACCGGCGAAGGAGAGCAAAAGCCGGCAAAACGGAUAGCAAUGGCGAGCACCGGCGAAAGUUCCGGCGAGGCCAGCAGCCGCUGGCCGCCUCUACUUCUCUCUUUUUCGGCAAAAUGACGCCACCAGCAGCAGCAGCCUACAACAACAGCUCCGGACAGCAGCAAUAAUGAGAACAUCCAACAACUAGGCGAUUUCCAUUCUUCUCAUCCCCGAUAAAGUUCGGGUUCGAAGACGGAUCUCAACAAAUUCGUCCAGGUUCAUCUUUUUUUUUCCAAUUAAUUAUUAUUCAUCUCCUAAUAUUCUUAAUUGUUCGUUUUUGAUCUACUAGUUAUUUCUAUGUAACAAUUUUAUGUAUGUUUACUUUACAUAAAAAAUACUAAGUGUUAUGAAGUUCAUCUUAGCAUGAACUAUAUGGGUAUCUUAAGCAUGCUUUCUAUGUGAUUUUCUAAUUUCUUGAAAUUGAUCUAGAAUGUCAACAUAUCUCUACGUUAUCUUCUAUUUAGCAUAUCUUUGAUUUUAGAGUCAUUGGAUUUACUAAUUCUUGAUUUUGCUAAGUUAAUUGAUAAAUGACAGAUUUUUCCAAUUCUUUUGCUAAUUAUUUAGUUUGAAAGUAUUCCCUUAAUUGAUUCGGCUUACUGUGCAAAUUGCAUUGACUUUUGGUAUGUUUCUUAAUCUAUAUUCUAAUAGAAUAGAGGUUAAAAUCUUGCUACAAAUCCAACUUUGGUCAGGUAAACUUUGCUGAAUUAUUUUGCUUUCUUUGCUAAUUGAUUCUCGGUAACUUAUUUGAUUUAGUUAUACUAUUCCUACUAAUUGAUUCUUGGUACCUUAUUUGAUUUUAGAAGGAUUAUUUCUUGUUUUACUAUGGUAAAAUUAGUUAAUGUUGAUUCCGUGUCCUCGCCUUAAAUUUGAUUCCCAACAUUAAUUUUGCCUAAUUAUGGCAACCAGGAAAUUCCUUCUUUUAUAUUUGUCUGUCUAGGUGUUCUAUGUAAGGGUAUAUCUAUGUGAUUUAUGCAUUAUUCUCCGUUACUUUGGUAAGUAUAUUAUUGAUAGCUUUUCCAAUAUAUUCCUGCUCUUCUGUAUAUUUUAAUUAAAGUAGUGACUCCUUAAUUAAUUUAUUUACCUUUAUUAAUUGAAAACCAUCAAGAAUGCGUAUUUGUGGGCUGAUUUAGUUUCUCCUUAAUUUAAGAAAAAGAUAUUUUAAUUGAUCCUUAGUUAAUUUUCUUUCCUUUAUCAUGUACCCUCCUCUCUACUAUAUAAAGUGAUCCUCUUUCUCAUUAUUAGGACACUCCUUUAAUACUUGCAUACGGACCAAGCUUUAACACCUUUAGCAAAUAAAAUACUAUUAACAAUUCAUGCUCCACACUUUAACAAGAAAUAAAAGAUACCAGCUACUCUUUCAAAGAAAAGGAUAAUUUUGGUGCUUUGUGAGUGUGCUUUCUUGUUGUGUUGCUGUUUUCGGGAAAAAUAUUUCCGUUCAAUAACUUCAUUGCUGAUACAUAAUUCUGCAUAAUUGGUUAGUAUCCUUUUCACUAGUUUAAUUUUUAUUUUAACAUUAUUUGCAUUGUUGUGUGUUUAAAUGAAUACAAGGAAGCAUCCGGAUUAGUUUUUGUUCUUUCCUCUCUCUGUGAUAAUAUAUCUAUGGUUACUCUUCAUUCAUUUUGAAUCAUAUGUGUGCUGCCUAUAUAUAAAGUAAUAGAUUGCUAUGAAUAUGCGAUGUUAUGAAUAUCUUUGUCACUAUAUGUAUCUGCUAUACUAUUCCCUUUUAGCAGGUGGAAGUUCAAGACACAUGAAGAGUUCGCCCGGGUCGGGAUAUAUUCGGAUAGAGCCUUGUCUUAUUUUAUUUUGAUGUUUGUCUUUCUAUUAAUAUUGGUUUUAUUGGAUUUUGUAAUGAUGUUGUAUAACUCUAACUCCAUAUAUGAUAUAAUUUGGGGAAUCAUCUAAAGGGGGAGGGGAUUACGUGUUAACUGUUUCUUUUUCUUUUAGCUUUAUUUUAUUAUGUUUGUUUUCUACAGAUAAUAUGCCUAGAUGAGUAUGUUGGAAUGUCUUAAAUAAUCCAUUUAAAAUCAACUGUUUAUUUGUGUUUGUUUAGUUUUAAAUAAACAACCUUUAAUUGGUUGCAUAAUCUGACUUUAUGAAUAAAUGUUAGUAUAUCAAUUAAUUAGCUUGAAUCAAUAAGAGUUCGAUAGCUCUAGUAUAUUAGUUAAUAAUUCAGAUCUUAAUUUCAUGUGUUUAAUGACUUUUGCAGCAUGUUAAUCAACUAGUUCAUUCAAUUAGAUUUUAAUAGUCACUUUAUGUGAAUAAAAUUCAGACCACUUAGAAGCAUGCCUAUAGGAUUUAAUUUCUGAGAUAUGGUUGAGUAUAGAAAUCAUGCUUGUAGGUGAUGCGAUAUCUUCAAUCUCUCAAUCACGUAGAAAUCAUGUUCAUUAGGCAUCAUUAAAUAACUUCAGCAUGUUAAAUAAUUGAAAUAAAUCUAUGCAUCUUUUCUGCCUACCGGUAAACUAUUUCUGUAUUAUAAUUAUUUUUUGACACUUGAAAUUAAAUUAACUAACAGUCCAGCAUGCUUCACAGAUUUUGAAUAAAAUACUGAUUUGCUCUCUGAUUAUUUCCUGUCCAUAAUUAAUUAGCUUCUGCAACAUCAAACUAUUUUAAUAAUAUUUUGCCAUUUUAAAAUCAACGGUGAAUAAAAUCUGCUUUGUGAUAGCCUUUCGGGUCACUUAGAAUAAACAUUUAUAAUUUGCUACUGCCCAUAUGCUCUUAUUCAGAUAAUCUUUCUUAAUUAACCUGGCCAAUAAUUAGUUAAAAUCUACAUUCUGAAAUAACUUUCUGCUCCCCCUAAUUAAAUAAUUAUGUUGUUAUGCUCCUUAUUUUGUAUGCAUACACUUAGCAUGAAAUCCUUUCACCAUUUAUGUGUGUUUGAAAGCAUGUUUAAUAAAACCUAGAGGCCAAUAUGAGACCCUUUGUGCUAAAUGCUUGUCCAAAUUGUUUGACUUGGUGUCUAGGUGGGCCUAAUAGGAACCUUUAUUUUAUUUCUAGUCUAAAACCUCCUAAUAGUAGUCCAAUGCCUCUUGGAUCUUAAGCGGGGACGCUAGGCACCUUUUAGAGACGAAAAGCAUGCGGUGGUAGGGUAGGGGUAGUUUAGGCCCUACGGAGAUGAUGACAUUGACUCAGGCUCAAAGAGACAAACCCUGGUUUUGUCUGUCCCUACACAGAAGCCUAUCAAAAAAAAUAAAGAAAAGUCGAGUGCUGAUCCACAAAGUCCUUCAGAGUCUCCUUUUCCUUUUAUCGCUUUAUCUUUUUAUAAUUAUAUUUAUUUGGGGUAGUUUAAUUAAAUAAAAAAUGAUAUUUACUUAUAUAUUUGUUUGCUUUCUAUCUUCUCGCUAUUUCUUUUAAAUUUUAUUUUUGUUAGUUAUUUAGUAUUAUGUUAUCACCUAGUUUUUGCAUGCUUAAUUAAUUAAAUAAUUAAAUAAAUUGAUUGUUUAAUAUUAGUUAUCACAUAUCAAUCAUGUUUAAUAAAUAACUAAUAAAUGAAGUGACCUUAAAUGCUACAUGUAACCCCCACAUAAAUUGCAUGAGAUACGGUCGGGAUCCACAUUUGUGGACCUCGAGGGAUGCCUAACACCUUCCUCUCGAGGUAAUUUGAACCCUUACCCUAAUCUCUGGUUCGUUGACCUUAGUUAGAUUUAGCUAGGUUAGAUAGGUGCCCUAACGCGCCUUAAUUCGUUAGGUGACGACUCUUUAAUGCUCCAAAACCCAAAAGAGUUGUAAGGUCGUGCACCAAAACCCGUUUUUGCGAAAAACGGGGCGCGACAAUGUAUAAAACAUAACUCUUUCUCAAUUUGAGGUAAUUACUCAAAAGACCCUCUUGAAAGAGGUAAUACUCUGAAAUAUCUCUAAACUCAUAAACUCAUUUAUAAAUCAAUGUUUCUCUCUUUUUAAAUGUAAAAGUGUUACAUUUAGGAAUACUUAGCUCCCUUAUACUCUUUUCAAUCAUGAAUACAACUCUUCUCAAUCUCAUAUUUACCUUCUCAAGACUUAGAGGGUGAUUCGAUUAGCUUAAAAGUUUGUCAAACCUAUUUUUAAGUCAGUUUUUGACUUCUGAAAAUAUUUGGCAAAUAUAAAAAAUAACUAAAAUAAGUUAGGAAGUGUUUGGAAAGGUCAUAAAUGACUUAAAAUAAGUAAAAACCCAAAAGUAGGUCUCCCCUACUCUUUGUUUUUUUGACUUAAAAGUCAUUUCAGUUUGACUUUUUAUUUUUAACUUAAAAGCUACUUUUUUUAAACCAAUCCAAACAACCACUUAGUUCAAAACAAUUGUUGAUUACAAAAGAAUUCUCAAAAUGACUCAAAAAGACCUCUUGAAAUUUUCUCUUAAAUUCACUUUAGUUUGGAAUGUAAAUUAAACCAUGUGAUUAGGACAUGUAGGAUCUCUCAAAGAUUAAUGGAGAAUUUAGAAGCUAAUACAAAGAGGAGAAUGUAGUCACGAUUCAAAAGGAACACGUUCGAAAAGAAGCACGAAAAGAAAAAGGACUAGACGACCCUAGCGCACUGGUGAUGCGUCGCUCAGGGCCUGAACUUCAGAAGUCAGGCCUUGAUGCACUGCUGGCGCGUCACCCCAGGGACUGUGCUAUUGAUGUCAAGACUUGGCGCUAUGGUGGCGCGCUGCCCCAGGCCCCUACACAGAAAAUCCGACAAUUUUUUCUACUCAUUUUAGGGUCCUAACUCAUCUAGAAUUGGGUGAUUUCUUCUAAACUCUUCUUGAUUCUCAAACCCAAUACGAAUUCAUAGAAAUUUCAUACAAUCCCUUUCAAAAAUCACAACUCAUACUCAAGAUCCUCAACCCAAGAAACUCAAAACUUCCAUUGUUAAAGAAUGAAACUAAAAUAAAGAACUACUCAAAAAUCUCUUAACAUAAUGUCAUGGACGAAUUCAUGGAUUAUUUAGAUGUAUGGUGUGAGAACGAACAAGUCCAACACUGUGAGAAGCCUUACAUACGUGGUAUCAAGGAUCUUCUUGGCGAAUGCCACAAGUCUUGAAAAACGCUUCAACUUAACCUCUUUUCUCCUCUUGAUACCUCACUCUAAAUCCCUAAGUAUUUUGGAACGUGAAUAGGUGAUUUAGAAUCUGAUUAGACCCUUAAUUGGGUCUGGAAAAACGUGCUAAGCCUAGUGGGAAAAAGGAAAUACCGAAAUACCCUUUUCUAAAAUGAAUGAAAUACCUUGAAUUGAGAGGCUUCACUCAAACAAGCAUAACUUUUUACUUUGAGUUCGAAAUUGAGCAAACUUGGCGUCGUUGGAAAGGGGACUCAAAGACCUUCAUUUGAUAGCUCAUGGGACACCAAAUGCUUUAUGUGCUAAAAUAUAUGGUCAUUUGAAGUUGACCCAAAAUUAAAAACUGAUGGGUAACUUAUACGAACCUCUAUUUAGCUAUUUCGAAGUCCGAGGUGUUACAAUAUCUCCCCCUUGGAAAAAUUCGUCCUCGAAUGAGGUCACACUAUAUAGAACAUGGGUGGGAAGCAUCUAAAAAACCCCAACUCAGUCACACAAUAUGCAAUUAACAUAAAUUCAACAUAUCAACUUAAAGAAUACUUUAUAAAGAGUUAGUACCUUGGUUUGGAACAUAUUCGAAAGGAAAGAGAUGAGGAUAUAUCUUCUUCAUAUCCUCUUGAGCUUCCCAAGUAGUUUUAUAAACAAGAUGAUUCAUUCAUAAGACCUUGAUUGAUGCACCCUCUUUGGUUCUCAAUUUGCAAACCUGACGAUCAAGAAUCUAAACGGGCAUCUCCUCAUCAAAAGAAAGGUUGUUCUUGAUACCAAUAUUCUUGGUAGGUACGAUAAGUGAAGGAUCAUCCAUACAAUUCUUUAUCAUAGAAAUGUAAAAUAUCAGAUGGACUGCUGCUAACUCUGACGAUAGCUCUAAUUCAUAAGCUAUGUUGCCAACUCACUUGGAUAUCUUGUAAGGACCUAUGUAUCGGGGACUAAGUUUUCCCUUCUUACCGAAUCUCAUAACACCCUUCAUAAGUGAAACUUUCUAAUAGACCCAAUCAUCAACCUCAAAUUCCAAGUCUCUUCUCCUAAAAUCUGUAUAGGAUUUCUGACGACUUUGCACUGUUUUCAGCCUUUCCUGAAUAGUCUUCACUUUCUCUAUGGCUUGAUAGACCAAGUCUGUCCCUAUCAAUUCAACUUCACCAACCUCAAACCAACCAAUAGGCAAUCUACAUCUUCGCCCAUAGAGAGCUUCAUAAGGAGCAGUUUGAAUACUGGAAUGAUAACUGUUAUAGUAAGAAAACUCUAUGAGAGGCAAGUGGUCAUCCCAAUUACCUUUGAAAUCUAUGACACAUUCCCUCAACAUAUCCUCUUUGGUCUGAAUUGUGCGCUCUGCUUGUCCAUCCGUCUGAGGUUGAAGAGUAGUACUCAAAUUUACCUUCAAACCCAAACCUUUCUGGAAAGACUUCCAAAAAUGAGCGGUGAAUUGAGCACCUCUAUCUGAAAUGAUAGACACGGGAACUCCAUGAAUUCGAACUAUCUCUUGAAUGUAUAAUCUGGCAUAAUCUUCUGCUGAUUUUUUAGUUAUUACCGGUAAUAAAUAGGAUGAUUUAGUCAUCCGAUCUACAAUCACCCAAAUCGAAUCAUGCUGCCUGCGAGAUCACAGCAAGCCAAUAUGAAGUCCAUAUUAAUCAUAUCCCACUUCCACUCUAGAAGAGCUAUGUUCUGAGCCACACCACUGGGCCUCUGGUGUUCUAACUUGACUUGUUGGCAAUUUGGGCACAUAGAAAUGAACUCUGCAAUGCACCUCUUCAUACUAAUCCACCAAUAGACUUCUCUUAAGUCAUGGUACAUCUUUGUGGAACCAGGAUGGAUUGAAUAUAUGGAACUAUGAGCUUCUGCCAUGAUCCUCUCUUGGAGCUCGUCCACCUUUGGUACACACAAUCUAUCUUGAUAUCUCAACACACAAUCUCCCAUUUGUACGAAAGUCAUUACUUUUUGCUUAUGCACAUUUGCCUUUAGUUCAAGUAAAAUAGGGUAUUUAUCUUGUUUAUCCUUAUCUUCAGACACUAGUGAUGAUUCAACCUCAUUCAUCACCACAACUCCACUUUCACUGGAAUCCAACAGAUGGACUCCCAAACGGGCAAGUCUGUGAACCUCUUUAGAUAUCUCAUUCUUGCCUUCCUCAACAUGAGCAAUACUUCCCGUGGAUAGCCUGCUCAAAGCAUCAGCAACAACAUUAGACUUACUUGGGUGAUAUAGGAUACUCAUCUCGUAAUCCUUGAGCAACUCUAACUACCUCAUUUGUCUGAGGUUAAGCUCCUUUUGACAGAAGACAUAUUGGAGGAUCUUGUGGUCGGGGAACACAUCCACAUGAAUACUACAUAGAUAGCGAUGCCAUAUUUUGAGAGCAAAUAGUACCGCUGCCAACUCGAGAUCAUGAGUCGGGUAAUUAUUCUCGUGAAUCUUAAGCUAUCUUGAGGUAUAGCUAUAACCUUACCAUUUUGUAUUAAUACGCAACAAAGUCCAACUUUGUACACAUCACAAUAUACAACAAAGUCUUUCGUACCCUCUGGUAGGGUUAACACUAGAGCAGUAGUAAACUAAGUUUCAAUUCCUGAAAGCUCUUCUCACAAGCUUCAGACCAUUGAAACUUAGUCAUUUUCUGAGUCAACUUAGUGAACGGGGACUAUAAUAGCCAGCCAAUCCCAAGAAACUCCUUAUAUUAGUUAGAGAUGUGGGUCUGGGCAUGUUCUGUACUGCUUCAAUCUUUUGAGUGUCAACUCGAAUCCUUUCUCCAGAUAUAGUGUGGCCUAAGAAUGCACAGAUUCAAGCCAAAACUCACACUUAGAAAAUUUGGAAUACAAUUCUCGAUCCAUGAGAGUUUGGAGGACUAUUCUGAGAUGACUAGCAUGAUCCUCCUCAUUCCUCGAACAAAUCAAUAUGUCAUUAAUAAAUACAGUAAUGAACAUAUCAAGAUAUAGCUUAAAGACUCUGUCCAUAAGAUCCAUGAAUAUUGCAGGAGCAUUGGUCAAGCCAAAAGACACCACAAGGAACUCAUAACGGAUCCUGAAUAUUGUCUUCAGGAUAUCACUUUCUCUCACUUUCAACUGAUGAUAGAAAGAUCUGAGGUCUAUCUUAGAGAAUCAAGUGGCACCCUGAAAUUGGUCGAAAAGAUCAUCAAUUCUCGGAAGGGGAUACUUGUUCUUUAUGGUGACCUUGUUCAACUGGCGGUAAUCGAUGCACAAUUUAAGGGAACCAUCUUUCUUCCUCACGAAUAAGACCGGAGCUCCCCAAGGUGAGACACUAGGUCGGAUGAAACCCUUAUCAAGAAGAUCUCUCAACUGCUCUUUUAACUCAGCUAGAGCCAUUCUAUAUGGUGGAAUAGAGAUAGGUUGAGUAUCAAGAAUAAUGUCUAUUUCGAAGUGUAUUUCUCUCCGGGAAGAUCAUCUGGAAAGACCUCUGGAAACUCACUCACAACUGGAACUGACUAAAUAAGCGGUGUCUUAACACUAGAGUCAUUAACUCGGACUAAGUGAUAGAUGCACCCCUUAGAGACUAACUUUCUGGGCUUAAGGUACGAAAUGAAAUAACCAUUAGGCACUGUUGAACUACUCCUUCACUCUAAGACAUGCUCAUUAGGAAACUGAAACUCGACUACUCGAGUUCUACAAUCAACUGAGGCAUAACAAGCAUGAUGUCAGUCCUUACCUAGAAUAACAUCAAAGUCCACCAUGUCUAGCUCGACUAAGUCAGCCAUGGUGUCCUUGUUAUUUACAGAGAUGAUACAAUCACGAUAAACUCUUUCUGCUAGAAUAGACACACCAACAGGUGUGGAAAUACUGAAGGGCUCAAGAAGUUUCUCAGGGAAAAUACUGAACAUCAUGGCUACAUAAGGAGUCAUAAAUAACAAAGUUGCACCUGGAUCAAGUAAUGCAUAAACAUCAAAAGUAAAGACUUUAAGCAUACCAGUGACAAUAUCUGGUGAGUUCUCUUGCUCUUGGUGACUGGUUAUAUAGCAGACAGACGGUUUGCUCCUCCGCUUGUCUCUAAAGUAGCUCUUCUCAGAGCAGUUCUAUCUACUAGAGUCGCUGAAGAAGAUUGGGCUCUAUUUCCCCAUUACCAUGCAUGUUCUUAGGGAACUCUCUCAUAAAGUGACCCAUCUGACCACACUUGAAGCAUCCAUUGGAGCUAUCACGAUGCGCUCUUGGGUGGUUUCUACCAUACUUAGCACAUAUGGGGGUCCAAGUAGCCCCUUGUGCCACACUAUCCUGAGACUGAGUAGGUCGAGCUCUAAAAUUCUGGGAGUUCUAAUUUCAGAAAUCACCUCUAUUUUUUGGUGCAAACGCACUAGCUGACGAUGGGGCAGGUCCAGGUGAUCUUUGGUGAAAAGAGGACCGAUUUACAUUUUCGAUCUUUUACUGGCCGGACUCAUGAUUUGUUGUCUUAGCCCUCUUAUUUUGGAACUCUUCCAUAUCUUUCAGCUUAUCUUCCUCAACUUGUUGCAUAUGGAUCAUGAGCCUGGCUAUGUCCAUAUCUCCUAUCAACAUAGUCGCCUUACCUUUCUUACUUGACAAGCGAAAUAACCCAGACACAAACAAACUCAUUCUGCUCCUCAUAUCAACCACAAUCUUCGAAGCAUUAUUGGAUAGUUGAGUGAACUUGAGGCUGUACUCUUGCAUACUAAUAGAUUCUUGUUUCAGAUUCACAAAUUCUCUUACCUUUGCUUCCCUUAGCUCAGGGGAAAGAAAUGCCCCAAGAAAGCCUCUUCGAACACAACUCAACUCAAAGGUGGUGCCCCUUCUGCCCCACUCUUCUUCCAUUGAUUGUACCAUAUGCUAGCAAAACCUUUGAGUUGCUAUGAAGCUAACUCCACACGUUGUGCAUUGGCAACACGCAUAACCUCAAAAAACUUUUUGAAGUUCUUUCACAAAGUUCUCUGGAUCCUCGGUGAUGUUCGAACUUGUGAACUCUGGGGGGAUUCAUCCUCAAGAACUCAUGGAUUCUGGAUGUAUCAGCCACAUCUUGACAACCCACUCUUUGUUGACUAGCUUAAUUUGCUACAACUUAAGUCAACAUCUUGAUAGCAUUCUAGAACUCGGCAUUGGUGACAUCUCCCUAAGGGGGUUGCUCCUAUGGUUCAUUGGGAACCUCUUGACCUUGAGGAUUCACAUUCCUCUUAGUAGGAUGUCCGCGAACAGCUCUUCGUGGAGGCAUGAUCUGAAAAGACACGCAUACGUACGAGUUAGAGGGAACUUUAUAGAGUUGAACUCUAUUACACGAAAAGAGUAAGAAGAAAGUGAAAUGUUUCCUAAAUGUCACAGCAUCCUAAUUAUAGCGCGCUUCUUCACACCAAAAAAUAUGACCCUACAGACACUGCUCCAUAGAUAACCUAGGACUCUUUGUGCUUUAAUAUCAAGUUUGUCACACCUCGGUCCUACACCCUGAACGUGGCUGGCACUCAAGAACCAUUGUUGGUCCUCAAGUGAACCCCUGGCCUGGCUGACUACUUAGCGGAAGGCCAACUCAAGCAAAAUGGAACUCCAAGUGCAUAAUUAAACUAAAUAUGUCUCAAUUAUAACUUACUCAAGAAAUUUCUGGAAAUACUUAAUAAAACAUAAGUAAUUGAAUCAAGGUUUCAAAACAUCAACAAGGAUGAAAGACUCUUCAACUUCUAGUUAUCUAUGAAGCUUCUAAUACUAAGAUAAAUGUCGGGACAGAACCCACGACAACUUAACAAAAGCAGGAAAUUAGCGUGAAGACCUUCAGAAAGCAAGGAGACUUACCAAAGCUAGCUGGAAUGCAAAUGGCAUCAACGAAGUACAUGCUGAUGACCGUGAACACAUGUAUCUGUCUCAUAAUAAGAUGCACAACGAAUGACAUUAGUACAUUGAAUGUCUGAGCAUGUAAGGUAAAACUGAAAGCAUAGAUAACUAAACUAAUAAGGCUGGAAGACAUAUUACCUCAACUCAACUCCAAUAUAAAAGCAAUAAUAAGAGAGGCAAUACUUAAAGCUUUAAAACAGUAAAUAUCAACUCAAGAUGUAUAAAAAUAUAGUAAGUUAUUCUUUACUUUUAUUUGGGGUAUUCUCUAAUCGACAACCAUCACUAUGAGUUAUGUGAUGAUACAUCGUCUCGCCCACACUGUCAGAACUGUUCUAUACCUUGUUGGGGGUAUAGAAUACCUCAACUAAGUAAAUCCACUAAACUAUGCUUAAAAGCAAUAUGGAGUUUUCUAAAAAGUAUGAUCUUUUACCUAUGUUGGCUACAUAAUUUAUGAGGAAUGUGAGUAGUCUCAACUCAUCCCCAUAUCGGUGCUCAAUACUACUCCCAAUAAUUUAUAAAUUCAUGCUCAAAUGUAUAAAACAUAAUUCUUUCUCAAUUUGAGAUUACUCAAAAGAUCCUCUUAAAAUAGGUAAUACUCUGAAAUAUAUCUGAACUCAUAAACUCAAUUAGAAAUCAAUGUUCUCUCUUUUUAAAUGUAAAUGUGUUACAUUUGGGAAUACUUAGUUCCCUUAUACUCUUUUCAAUCAUGAAUACAACUCUUCUCAUUCUCAUAUUUACCUUCUCAAGACUUAGUUCAAAACCAUUGUUGAUUACAAAAGAAUUCUCAAAAUGACUCUAAAAGACCUCUUAAACUCAUUUUGGUGUGGAAUGUAAAUUAAUACAUGUAGGAUCUCUCAAAGAUUAAUGGAUACUUUAGAAGCUAAUACAAAUAAAAGGUAGUCAUGAUUCAAAAGGAACACGUUCGGAAAGAAGCAUAGAAAGAAAAAGGACCAGGCGACCUUGGCGCACGGGUGGCGCGUCGCUCCAGGGCCUGAACUUCAGAAGUCAGGCCUUGGCGCACUACUGGAGCGUCACCCCAGGGCCUGAACUACUGAAGUCAGGCCUUGGCUCUAUGGUGGCUCGCCGCCCCAGGCCCCUACCUUAAAAAUCCAACGAAUUUUUCUACUCAAUUUAGGGUCCUAACCCGUCUAGAAUUGGGUGAUUUCUUCUAACGUUCUUGAUUCUAAACCCAACACGAAUUCAUAGAAACUUCAUACAAUUCCUUUCAAAAAUCAUAACUCAUACUCAAGAUCCUCAACCCAAGAAACUCAAAACUUCUAUUGUUAAAGAAUGAAACUAAAAUCAAGAACUACUCAAGAAUCUCUUAACAUAACGAUUUCAUGGAUGCAUUAGAUGUAUGGCGUGAGGACGAACAAGUCCAACACUGUGAGAAGCCUUACAUACUUGGUAAGAACGAUGUUCUUGGUGAAAAUAACAAGUAUCGAAGAACACUUGAACUUAGCCCUUUUUCUCCUCUUGAAACCUAGCUCUAAAUCUUUAAGUGUUUUGGAAUGUGAAGAGGUGAUUUAUAAUCUGAUUAGACCCUUAAUUGGGUCAGGAAAAACGUGCUAAACCUAGUGGGAAAAAGGAAAGAUCAAAAUACCCUUUUCUAAAACGAUUGAAAUGUCUUAAAUAGAGAGGCUUCUCUGAAACAUGCUUAAUUGUUUACUCCAAGCUCGAAAUUGAGAAAACUUGGCGGUGUUGGAAAGAUGACUCAAAGAUCUUCGAUUUGAUAGCUCAUAGGCCACCUAAUUCUUUAUGUGCUAAAAUAUAUGGUUGUUUGAAGUUCACCAAAACUUAAAACUGAUGGAUAACUUGUACGAACCUCUAUUUAGCUCUUUCGAAGUCCGAGGUGUUACUAGGCUGAUUUUAUGCAGGAUGUAGUUGUGGAGGUUCAGUUGGAGUGGUAGGAGUACUUGUAUUCUAUACUCUUAUCUUUGUGUUUAGGAUUAUUUUUUUGCCGAGUACCGUGUGGUUUGGUAUUCACCCCUUGCUUAUACAAUUGUGUAAGUUACGAGCUCGGAUCUUCGUGAUACUCCCUCUUCUUGUUCGAGGCAUCCUUUGGAGAUUUGUGAGCUAGUUGUUUGUCAUCUCAGUAGACCUUCUUACUCAUAUUUAUGAUUUUUGUUCUGUUUUAUAGACAAUAUCAUUUGAGACUUGUGUUUUUGU
rnacentral:lncRNA from 1 species